rnacentral:lncRNA from 1 species
UUGCUUUAUAAAGCUUCUUUAUGUAUUUUUGUUUGGUUGUGUCGGCGAAAUAUUUCUGUUCUUGUUUUGUUGUGUCGGCAGUAAACUGCUAAUUUACUUUUCUUUUGUAAAAGAUCGAAUCCCGUGACGAUGGGGCCCAAUGAGCACCCGGCGAGAUUCCUUCUUAGGUCUAUAUAAGGGAGCCUUUCCCCUUUGUGAAGGCAGAUUCUUUCAACCUCUCUCUCCUCUCUCUCUUUUGUACUCUCUCUCUUGUAAUAAAAUUUCUCUUAUAAAUAAAAUCUAAGUUUUUGAAUGUUGAAUUGAGAAGUCUUCCGCCCAAUUUGGUAUCAGAGCCAUUGUUGGAUCCGCAAUGAUAGUCGGCUAACUAUCUCUGUUAGCCUGUAACAGGUAUUACUCUGAGUCAUGAAAGUUUUAUUUAUUUAUAUGUUUGCUUAUUUAGUUAUGCUUUUAUAAUAUUCUUCAAAAUUCUUGAGAAAGUGGGAAAUAAUUAUUACCAGAUUAAUCAUGGAUGAUUCAA